rnacentral:lncRNA from 8 species
AUGGAAGUGUCUACCAACAAUGACCUCAAAGACCCAACAGUUGCAGUCAGCCAGGAGUCAGUCAGACGCAGCGCCAAGAAGAUCCUCACAAAGGUUCUGAAUGUGAUCAAGGCCAGAGUAGCUGGCUCAGAGCACUCAUCUGUGGGCGAGCAGAUGACCGAAGAGUGCCAAGUUGCCACAGAGAUGUUGGACUCCAUUCUGAACAGACUAGAAGAUGAUGAGCCUGAUGUGGGUGAAGAGGAUCAUCUUCAUGUGAUGUCUGUCCGUGACAUCUACCAGGAUGUCUCAUCUAAAACCUCUCAGGUUUGUAUGGUGGUUAGUAGCCAGGCGAUGGGCGCGUUGACCGAUGAUGUGUCUGCCGCGACCUUUGUGCAUGAUUUUGUGCACAGGUCAGAGAGUUGUCUCUCUCAGGCCACAAGUACCCACAGGUCAGGCACUAGCCAGGCCUCCAGUGACCUUGUUGUUGAAUACAUGUCUGAGCUCCAUACCAACUGCCUCGACACCGCAUUGCCUGUGAGGUGCACUUCUACAGCUGUUGGCGAUACAGAGACUUGUCACGUCCCCUCUGCCAGAGUGAAGAAGAAGAGUCAGGGCCGGAGGUUCAGUUGCUGCCCAAAGUUGCCAACGGUCAGCAUCAAGGUGUUCAAGAGCAGAGUGGAACCAGAGAGCCACCCUGUUCAAAAGGAGCUGCCUUCGCAGCGUUUCAGCACCUCUCGAGUUGCGCUGUAUGAUGAUCAUGCUGUCCCAUUCAUUCCCCAACUUGAGGACGACCUGCCACCAGCACCUGCACAGGAGUCCCGUAAACGUCCCCUGUUGGUGAGAAUGUUCCGGGCCAUUUCCAGGGCCGUCUCGAAGCCAUUCAAGGUGUGCUUUUUGCAAGAAGAAUUAGGAAAGGGUUAG